UUGUGUGUCUGCAUACUUGAUUGCCU
rnacentral:piRNA from 1 species